rnacentral:rRNA from 1 species
GUGAGGAAUAUUGGUCAAUGGGCGGAAGCCUGAACCAGCCAAGUCGCGUGAAGGAAGAAGGAUCUAUGGUUUGUAAACUUCUUUUGAAGGGGGAUAAAGUGCGUCACGAGUGGUGCAUUGCAGGUACCCUUGGAAUAAACAUCGGCUAACUCCGUGCCAGCAGCCGCGGUAAUACGGAGGAUGCGAGCGUUAUCCGGAUUUAUUGGGUUCAAAGGGUGCGUAGGUGGCUUUUUAAGUCAGCGGUGAAAACUGGCGGCUCAACCGCAAGAGUGCCGUUGAAACUGGUGGGCUAGAGUAUGAACGAGGUAGGCGGAAUGUGUGGUGUAGCGGUGAAAUGCAUAGAUAUCACGCAGAACUCCGAUAGCGAAGGCAGCUUACCAGGCCAUAACAGACACUGAAGCACGAAAGCGUGGGGAUCGAACAGGAUUAGAAACCCCAGUAGUCC